GGAGGUGGAAAAACACAUCGGAUUCUACUUUGACCAAAUGCUUAUUUUGUUUUGGGCUUUUUACAGCAACAACCAACUUUUUCAUUUGGUUAUCUUUUAUACGGAGCAUAAUUUCACAUCACAAAACUACCGUACGUGGAGUGAAUAUUAUCUUUUUUAACCUUGGUAUAAAUAGAAAGAAAAUAGAUGUCACAACUCUUUCAUUUGAUUUCUGCUUCAAUUUCUCUCUCAAAAAUUAUCGAUCUCUUCUUGCUCCUCUCUUCUUCGUCUGCGAUCCGCCUAUGUCUUUCUGCAAUAUCCAAUUUUAUGGAGGUUAAAUAGAUUAUCAUCGGAAACAAUUUCAAGCUAUUCAAUCUCUGAAAUGGCAGUAGAAUGGUAGCGUUUGGGUUGGUGGUGCGACGACAUUCCGCCUGGUGGUUGUGCGACGACGGGUGGUGUUGUGGCUGACGGCGGCAGUUAUUGGGCAAACGAUGGCGGUGUUCAACAUGAUGGUGACGGCGUCGAAGAAGAAGAAGACUAGAGAGCCAAAGGAGGACAACAAAGUUGAUUAUAUGGAGGCACACCACUGUUAAAUAUUGUCUAAUGACUAUGAAAAAGAGAGAUAAUGAGAAGGACAUCAACUUUUGCACAAAAAAAUUAGAAAUUUAUGGUGUGAUGUAAAGUAGUAUAAUUUUUCUAGUGUGAUUUUUUAUCUUAAUUUAAUUUUUAGCCUCAUGAAUGCUAAAGAGAUGUUGCAACUGCCGGUUUUGUUUUAUUUUUUAUUUAUAGGGAUAAUGAUAUGUUAUUUUUUGUGUUAA